AUGGAUUAAUCCAUUGAUGAGGUUGAUUUCAUGAUCUAGUCAUUUCAGUUCUGAACAUUCCUGCAUGAACGCAUCCCUUUUGGGGGGACAUCUCUUGUCCAAACAUUAAGAGGAGGUGAGGUGGGAGAAAAGUCAUGAGGACCGGUUGAAAGUCUGGUUAGACAGUGACAGUACCUGGCUUCCCUCUCCACCAUCAUGGAAGGUGGAGGAAGACUAGAGGUGUCCUCUGGAAGAGUGACAACAGGGAGUGUCUGGACUCUCAGGAAUGUCUGUCAAAGGAGAGCACUCACCCGCUCCUGAAAACCAGGAUUCAGUAAGAAUGACUUGGUAGAAGGUGCACAGCCCAGGACUUUCUCCUCACUCGACUUCAGAAUGGGGAGUCACCAGGCUUGUGACCUCUAACAGAGAAUUUCCUUCAGUGAACAAUCUGAUCAGUCCCAGGGAAAAGACCCCAGAUUGCUGACAGAGAAGGUUCCCAGGUGAGCAGACCCAGCCGCUCACAACACAGGGCAACUGUUCAGCUUUGAGAGCCUAUUACCAUUUUUUUUUUUAAAACCCAAACUGGGUCCUUUUCCAUCUUGGAAUUGUGGAAUCAAUAAUGAGACCCAGUGCCAACUGAGCAGUGAGGGAGACUUUUAUUUUUGGCCAAGAAUAGGAGAAGUGGAAGCUAGACUAGCAAAUCAUUCUUAUCCACCGGGUACAGGUCAGGGGGUCAUGGAUCUAGGGUAAAGAAUUGAGGGGGGUACUUAGACUAAUAAAGGGAAGGAUAUGAAUGGCUUUUCCAGAAUAGAGAUUUUCUAGGGAUUUGGGCUCCCCGUGUUUUUGCUGCUUUUAUAGUUCUUUCAGGUCAUUCUCAUGACAAUUGUCAACUGUCAAGGGACCUGGCUGUGUCAUAUGCAGCAUGCAGAUGGGACCAUAACAGAGUCAGAGCUUGUCUGACAGUUGUCUUUGGCAACUGUCUUGGCUCCAGUUGGGCUUGCCUCCCCUACCUGAAGAGGGACCUCUGGCUUCCAAGGACCCUGUCCUCAAAGAUAAGCAGGAUUAGGGCAGGGUAGGGAUUCAGCUAGGCCACCAAGGCGAUGAGCCCACUCUGACUUACAAGAACACAGCCAAGAUUGCUGGAUAUCUAAAGAGGCCUUCAGCAUGAAAGACAGGCCAGGGCAAGCAUGCACGCAGGAACCACCAAAGAAACAAGGUCUGAAAGAAGAAAUAUACUUAACAAAACCCAAAUAACCUUCGUUAGUAUCUUCAGAGUGAUGAACAAAUCACCUACGCCCAGGAAGAAGAACGUGUAUGUUGGAGAUUAAAACGUGAUAGGAAUAGUAAAAGUGUUCACGGAGCAUGGAAGACUCGAGAAGUUUCUCAGGAAGUAUAAAAAGGACAAAGUACGCAAAGGUCAUCCGAAGGGCAAGCUGUGAACUCAAGAGUCCUAACAGUGGAGGUUUGGGAGAGAGAGGACAGGGAAGGCUGGACGUGGAAAUCAGUUGAGAAAUGUUCCCAGACGAGAACGUGAGGGACCCGCACACGGAAAAACAAUCAAAGCAUCUGGCCCAGCGAAUGGCGCAGUGAAUCAAAACAGGCCGACACCAAAGUGCUUAACAUGAGAUUUUGGACUACCUGGGACACAGAAGAUCCUUAAAGCUUCUGAGAGAGAGAUACUGGGGUUAUCCAGUGGGACCCAGAAAGGCUUUGGGUUUCUCAAUAGCCACUCCAGGGCUGGGAAGACAGGUUCAAUUCUUAACCAAAAGUGAGUGAAGAGGAAAGACAUUUAGACACACCACCCUUCUCAGGAAGCCACCCAGUGUCAUGCACCAUCAAAAUGAGAAAACUAAGGAAACGGCUACACUUGGGAGAAAGGGAAAGUAGAGGGUGGGUGGGUUCCCAGCACAGCAGGUGUGCUGCUGGCACAAGGACCCACAGGCAAACUGGGGUGGAGAGGAUACCCGGUUCAUCUGCAUGAACGAAGAAGAGAGUCUAGCUGGGCACGUGGCACAGGCCUGUAACCCCAGUGGCUCCCGAGGCUGAGGCAGGAGGAGUGCGAGUUCAAAGCCAGCCUCAGCAACUUAGUGAGGCCCUAAGCAAUUU
rnacentral:lncRNA from 1 species